rnacentral:snRNA from 1 species
GUGUUCACUUCAGCAGUACAUAUACUAAAAUUAGAACGAUACAGAGAAGAUUAGCAUGACCCCUAUAUAAGGAGAACAUACAAAUUCAUGAAACAUUUCAUUUUUUU